AGAUGAAGCCCUGCGCCCCCCGGAGCCCAGCCCUGUUCACCGCGUGCUGUGCGGGUGCCUGUGCCAGGAUCAGCUGACUGGACGGCUAUAGCCCCACGCCUGCAGGCCACAUACCUGGGAGAGUGUGGGCCUUCCGAGCCUUCUGGCUCCCGGCCCCACAGAGGAAUUACGGUCCCAUGUCCCUCACAAGGACCCUUGCAGAGGGAGCAGCCGGGCUGAGGCUGCGGGUCCCUUGUGGCCGCCAGGUGCUCACGCGUGCCUCGGUGGGGAUCUGGCAGCCAGAUUUGGGGUGAGGAUUUGAUGAUGUGGGUAUCCCUAGCUGGUCCCACAGUGACGAUGGGUGUUGCGUUGUGAGCAUGUAAAACGGCAGUGACGUCUGAGGGUCCCUGGACGUCUUUCGCACCCAGCCUCAAAGCGGAGCCUUUCCAGGCAGAGCAGCAGCUGCCGCCACUGGAUUGACAGCCCCAGAGCAGUGGGAUCAGGCCACGCGGACGAGGAGGGCCCCUUGGCCUCAGAAGGCCCCCAUGUGCCAGCUCAGACUGGAGUUGCCUCAGUUGACACAGCAGGCCCCAUCCAGACAGACCAGCUUCUGGAGACAAGAGCAAAGCCUUUUCCGGCAGCCCGAAACCUGGGAUAAGAAACGACAGGUGGAAGGUUGUCCAGAGACACCUACAGCGUGGAUGCUGUUCCGAGUCAGCGUAGGAGAAGGGCCACUGGAAACCAGAGUCACACUGCGCGUCUGUGCAUCUCUGGCCCACCGCAGUGGCCCCGGCUGUCUGCACAUUUUUUGUAGACACAUUAGAGUCGGUUGAGGCCACACCUGCGGCCACAGACUGCGACCGCGAUUGCAGGGAGGAGCAUCUGAGGUGGUCACGGGGUUUGCCCAGCUCACACCAACUGCAGCCUGGGGGCCUAGGGCCUGCUUCUCAGAGCAUCACGGGGCCCAGCAAGAAGUGCCCCCUGGGAGGUGACAGCGUCUUCCAGAAAUGCCGCCGCCCACAAGGAGGACUGGCCUGUGCCGGAAGCUGGAGAUGGUGGGGUCCCGAUGGCACCUGCCGCGGCGAGUCCUUUGCACAUGUUGGCAACACACGCGUCCGCAUCGGCCUCCCUGCCCACAAAGCGCCACAACGGUGACCAACCAGAGCAGCCGGAGCUGAAGCGGAUCAAGACAGAAGACGGCGAGGGCAUCGUCAUUGCCCUGAGUGUGGACACGCCACCGGCAGCCGUAAGGGAAAAGGGUGUCCAGAACUAGCGACUGGGAGAGCUUUUCUUUAACAAUAUCAACUCUGUGGUGCCAAAAGGAGACGCGGCCUCCCGCCAGCACUUGGGGGUGCAGGGCCCUGUGGUUGGACUUCACCUCUCAGCACUGAAAACAGAAAACCCAGCUGGCCUUAACACUCCUUAAAGACAGAAGUCACACUUGAACAAAACCCACACACAACAAAACCUGAUUUGGGAGACGGUGUCUCCACUGAGCACCUGCUGGGCUGAGCUUCUACCUACAAGUGAAACUCUGUCCUCCCGCGAGGACCAGGCAUCGCUGUGUGAGGACGGCACGGCCAGCGCCUGCUGUGAGUGGGUCUCCCAAGACUAGGCCUCAGGACGCGGGGGGAGCCGUCCCCGCCGCCCUCACAGGACCCACCAGGCAGCGGAGACAUGUGGAAUUAGAGUAUUUUGAGGUGUCCUUUCUUUACAAAAUAAUGGGGUCUUGGGCAUUUCACAUCACUCCAUUUCUACUCAGACUUUCGGAAUCACACAGGCCCUUUCCGUGGAUUUCAUUUGGGGCAAAGAAACAACGUAGUUUUGUUUUUGUUUUCAGCCUAUGGAAUGAUUUCCUUUUGUCUGUCUUGUUCGAGUUCAGACGAAGCUACUCUGGCAUCUGCACAUUUCCGUGUUACAGCAGCUGCCUGAUGAAUUUUAUCCACCUCCAUUUCAGCAUGUGGCUCGCGUGGACAGGUGGACGGACGCUGUGGCCGCAUGGAACCUUGAGAACCCAGGGACGAGCCAGUGCCGGGAAGGAACUGCCGGGACUCACCGAGCUGCGCUUCACUGUUCUCUUUCUGGCUGUUUUCUGUUGCUUGUUUCUUUGUGUUGACUUUGUCCCUGGCAAAAUUUUCCACUCUGAGUAAAACAAGUCUCCUAAGUAUUGUGUAUGUUU
rnacentral:sRNA from 1 species